rnacentral:lncRNA from 1 species
UGGUAUUUAUUAUUUAAUAGUUUUUGUUUUCUGAUGAACCCAUUUGUUUUCUCAAUGGAAAAUCAUGGUUAAAGUUUUGGAGGGACAAGUUAUGCUAAUGAAUAAGGCAUAUGCUAUGCGUGUGUAGUUAAGGGUUUCGUGGUAGUUUAAGUUUCCAUAAUUUGGUUAGUUUUGUGGAACAAGUAGAAUUAAUGAAAUGAAAAUACAAAAUAGGUGAGCAAAUGAGAAUGAAAAAGGAAAACCC